AUAGAUAUCCAUAAUAAAGGCUAGAUGUCUUACGGCGGAGUCUCAAACGUCAUCACCGGCGGCCAUCUUGCCUCAGGCAAGCUUUCUGGCGUGCUCUGUGGUACCUAAUGUAAGGAUUUGUUGAGCGACGGGCUCUGAAGAAGCUGUCCUGUGAUGUCUGUCGUGCCAGCUUGGUAACAGAUGCUGCAUCUGCCAUCAAGGACCAGAGCUACCACCUGCUGAAGUUAAAAAACAAUGGAAAUCUGGUGAUUCCAUCAGAAGGCACAGUGAUGUGGUCAGGACAGCAGAGUGGGUCAUUCGUCAGACCUCAUGUACCAGACGAUCACAGCCUAUCAAAGUGCUAGAGGUUGUGUACAUUGUACGGAAGAGGAUAGGGUCAGAGGAUGUGUUUGUGCUCAGAGAGCACAUCGGAGAAACACAGUAUGGCAUAGACAGCCACCACCAUACGCUGUUAAUGUUGGUUGUGUCCUUGUUUUUUAAGUUAAGGCUGCACCACAUUGCCAAAAUAACUAACCUUAGCUUACAGAGCAACAACAUGCAACAGAAGCUCAAUAAAACCGUCCUUUUCAAAGGGCAUUAGCCAA